AGAGUUCGAUCCUGGCUCAGAACGAACGCUGGCGGCGCGUCUUAAGCAUGCAAGUCGAGCGGGAGGGGCAGCGAUGCCCCGAGAGCGGCGGACGGGUGAGUAACGCGUGGACAACCGACCCUCCGGUGGGGGAUAGCCGAGCGAAAGCGCGGAUAAUACCGCAUGAGACGGAGCGGGGGCGGCCCUGUUCCGGGAAAGCGCCUGCGGGCGCGCCGGGGGACGGGUCUGCGUCCCAUCAGCUAGACGGCGGGGUGAAGGCCCACCGUGGCGACGACGGGUAGCCGGCCUGAGAGGGUGGACGGCCACAUUGGGACUGGGAACGGCCCAGACUCCUACGGGAGGCAGCAGCUAAGGAUCUUCCGCAAUGGGCGAAAGCCUGACGGAGCGACGCCGCGUGGACGAUGGAGGCCGGAAGGUUGUGAAGUCCUUUUCUCGGGGGGGAACAACCGUGCCAGGGAAUGGGCGCGGGGUGACGCGGACCGAGGAAUAAGCCCCGGCAAACUACGUGCCAGCAGCCGCGGUAACACGUAGGGGGCGAGCGUUGUUCGGAUUCAUUGGGCGUAAAGGGCGCGCGGGCGGCCGGGCGAGCCUGCCGUGAAAUCCCCGUGCUCAACACGGGGGGGUCGGCGGGGACUGUCCGGCUGGAGUACCGGAAGCGGCGGCGGAAUUCCUGGUGUAGGGGUGAAAUCUGUAGAUAUCAGGAAGAACACCGAUGGCGAAGGCGGCCGCCGGGCCGGAUACUGACGCUGAGGCGCGAAGGUGCGGGGAGCGAACAGGUUUAGAUACCCUGGUAGUCCGCACAGUAAACGAUGUGCACCGGGUGGCGGGCGGGAACGCUCGGCACCGAAGCGAACGCAGCAAGUGCACCGCCUGGGGAGUAUGCCCGCAAGGGUGAAACUCAAAGGAAUUGACGGGGGCCCGCACAAGCGGUGGCGCAUGUGGGUUAAUUCGAAGCAACGCGAAGAACCUUACCAGGUCUUGAC
rnacentral:rRNA from 1 species